ensembl:processed_transcript RIKEN cDNA 2410003L11 gene
GGAGAACAAGCCCCUGCAGUUCCCUGAGGCUGGCACAAUGGAGGAAGGUUCCUCUCCACUGAGUUCCUACCUCAGCUGCCCUCCGUGAUGUGAUGGACUGUGAUCCCCACACCAAACGAACCCUUUCCUCUCCAGGUUGCUCUUUAGCACUGCAGCAGCAGGCUUCUCCUCUGAGAAGCGGCAUGUCACCAUGUCACAUGCUCUUCACUGCUGAGUCAUCUCACUAGGCCCCUCCCGCACCUUCUUCCACAGCUUCUGAGAGAAGUGAGUUCAGCUAGAGAGUUUCACGUGAAUCUCUGGCUGGCCUAGAACUUAGAGCGUAGAGCAGGCUGGUCUCCAAAUGAGGACCAUCUCCUGCCUCCCAGAUGCUGGGAUUCUGGGUGCGUGGGGAUGUGCACCACACACCUGGCUAAUGGAACAAAUUUUUGUUAAUUAGCUGAAUUAGUCAUAUAGUCAUAUUAUGCUAAACUGCAUUUACUUAGUUAGGCCAAGUGGUAUUAGUUAAUUAAAUUCCUGCAACACGGAAGACAGCGGCUGGGGAGACCUUUUCCUAAGUGCUUCUCGCUCUAUCUCCCAAUGUUCGAACUUAAAUCUCUAUUAAACUAUUAUUUUAGGCAGGUGUAGGUGCUGUCAUAGGAUGAGAAAUCCAAAG